AUUGAACGCUGGCGGCAUGCCUUACACAUGCAAGUCGAACGGUAACGGGCCUUCGGGUGCCGACGAGUGGCGAACGGGUGAGUAAUACAUCGGAACGUGCCCGAUCAUGGGGGAUAACGAGGCGAAAGCUUUGCUAAUACCGCAUACGAUCUACGGAUGAAAGCAGGGGACCGCAAGGCCUUGCGCGGACGGAGCGGCCGAUGGCAGAUUAGGUAGUUGGUGGGAUAAAAGCUUACCAAGCCGACGAUCUGUAGCUGGUCUGAGAGGAUGAUCAGCCACACUGGGACUGAGACACGGCCCAGACUCCUACGGGAGGCAGCAGUGGGGAAUUUUGGACAAUGGGCGCAAGCCUGAUCCAGCCAUGCCGCGUGCAGGAUGAAGGCCUUCGGGUUGUAAACUGCUUUUGUACGGAACGAAAAGCCUUCUUUUAAUACAGGAGGGUCAUGACGGUACCGUAAGAAUAAGCACCGGCUAACUACGUG
rnacentral:rRNA from 1 species